AACGCCAUGGCAAUGCCGACCACACGCCGAGAACAGCUUCGGCUUUCUUCACCUUCGAGCUAGGACAAGACGAUGAAUCCCAUGGUCUCCGGUCACGGCUACCGUCCUUCUCCCCCACCCCGCCCUCCUUCCCUCCCUCCGGCGUCGUUCCCCUUCCCUUACUUUCUAUUGCUGUAGUCCCCCAUCCCCUUUCUGUAGCUUGGUCCGUUCAUGUCCUCCGGUCGCCGCCUCACUAUUCCAGCCGGCGGCCCCGUUCCCUCCCUCAGCCGCCGCCCUUGCUCUAUCUCUUCGACAGCCUCUCCUCCCGCACACUUCCCCUACUAGCGUACCUCCAUCCAUCCCCUGCUCUGGAACCUCUUGGGGUUGCACUGGCGGCAGCAGCGCCCGUCUUCGAGUAAGGAGAUGGAGGUCGUAGACGCGCAACGGAGGUGGCGCCAGCUUGCGUCGUCGGUCCAGGCCGUGGUUCGGUGCCUCCUUCCGUCCGGAAGCGAACCGGCGCCGGCGUUCGUCUAAUUGUUUCGUCUCCACCUCGGUACCUCCACAGGAGACAACAUAGGUAAUUUUCUUUUGUUGAUUAUUACGAUUGGGGCAUAGUUGAUUUAUAUGUACUUCUCAUCUUUGUUGAUGAUGCAAGUAGUUUAGACCAAUUUUGCUCCUGUAUCUGACCGUCGAUGUGUGUACAGUGUACAUGCUACAAAUGUGCUUGUUCAGAAUUAACAAUAAGAGUGGUGAAAGACAAUGAAUUUCAAUUGAAUACCUUUCGUUACAAGUUUUUAUAAAAGUACUUGGAACUAGCAAGUCAAAACAUAAAGAGUAUGAAUCUCGUAACACAUUGAUUAAGUUGGCUUCUGUUGAUAGAAGUAGGCUUGAUUUUGUCCUGUCAUUGUACUAGCCCUCGAGGUACCAAUGGCUGGCUGCAUUAAGGGAUGCAUAGCUGAGUUGAACUGUGUCUGUUGCAAAUAGGUAUAGUUCUGAUUUGUCGGAACUCCUGGAUCACUUUGUCCCUAUGAAAAUAUGUAACAAAGCUUAGUAAGUCUUAAGUUUUAAGAUGAUAAAACUUAACAUUGUUGAAUUUGAACUGCUGUACCAUUAGUGCACUGUAUGAUUGCGAUUCAUUGGGAUGGUACACUCCUAGAGUGCCUUGACCCUAUAAACAGAAGUAGCAAAUCUCAGCGUCACCAAAGUUUUAAGAUUUUAGCACUGAAAUUAUUGAUUGUAGGCUGGUAUACCAUUAAUGUAUUGUAUGGAUGUAAUCCAUUGGGAUGGUAGACUCCUGCAGCGCCUUGACCCUAUAAAAAGAAAUAUGAAAGCUCAGUGUCACCGUAGUUUUAAGAUGAUAAAGCUUAACAUGGUUGAUUGUAUACUGAUGUACCAUUAGUGUAUUGUAAGGCUGUAAUUCUGCACACAAUCUUUGGUUUUGUGUUGACAUGGGGAUGGUACCAACUGAUGGCUGCAUUGGAGCAUUUAUGAUUGGGCUGUACUGUAACUUAUAUGUACUGCCUGGAUGGUCGCCACGUAUGCAGGGAACACCGAUGGGAGCAGUUCGUGGGAACAGGCAAGCCCCGUCCUUCCGAGUCUAUCUAAUGCGCCUAUCCCGUUAUCAUUGAGUUGGUGCAGGGCGUGCCAUGAAAAUACCUGAAAUUUAAUGUAAAGUUGUGUAUAGGUUGUUGCUAAGUUGUCCGCUGAAAAUUGUUAAGUUGCUGAUCUAGUGAGGUAUCACAGUCCUUUUGUGUGAAAAUGAAUGCACUCGAACAUGAUAGUAUAUCCUUCUAAUGAUGCUCAACUUUAAUGUCAAUAUGUCUACUAGUUCUUAAGUUGUCUACUGGUUGUCCUUAAUUUUCUAUUUUCUUUGAUAGCGGUGGUAAUGUGUUGAAUGGCUUGGAUUCCAUCGUUUUAAGACUAUGUUGUUUCCACUUCACCAUGGUUUGGUUGAAAAUGGUGGCUCAAGCACGGCAGGAAGACCUAGACGAGAUGGUUCCUGGUGGAGCGAUCGAGCUUGGCAUCCUGUACGUAGAAGCGGUGGAUCCCGGGUGAUGCAGCUGGUACCAUCUCGAGUAAGGCGGUGGGAGAGCACAACAACUAGCUCGAGGCGGUGGCAGCAAGCACAACGCAUAGCUUGAGCCGGUCGCGGCGGUCCCGAUACCUAGCGCGAGCACUAGCUCGAGCCAGUCGCGGCCCCUGACCAACGAGCAAGGAGGAAGUAGUUGCUUUUUGGACCAGGAGAUAUCUGUAUAAGAACAAGGAUGGUGCUUGAUCUUCUUGAAGCAAUUAACAGCCAAUUGUGGAGCUUUACUUUCUUCAUUGUUAGAGUUCUCUUUUAUUUUUCAACCAACUUUGUUAUUUGUCAACUAAUUGUCAAGUUGCAUAUUUGUAUAUAGCUCUGUAUUGUUGAUAUUUUGAACAACGACAAAGGAGAACUAUUAAUCGCAGUUUCCUUUUCUA